rnacentral:lncRNA from 1 species
UUGCUGUUUUUAACUAGUGAAUUAAGUUGUAUUGAACUUGCUGUUUGCAUGAUUUAACUUGUCUUUGUCUCUUUCAUUUCAGGUUUCCAAAUGCCAAGUUCUAACUUUUAGCACAUCUACAAGACCCCUACAAGAUCAAGAUUAUAUAUUAUGCUGAUCUUUCAAGAAGAAUAGGAUUAGAAGAUAAAAUCCUUCAUAUUUUUUGCUUCUUCUCAUGGUCAAAACUAUAUUUUUUGGUGAUUCUUGUGAGUGGGUUAUUUUUUUUUGUAUUAGAUGUGUGCUUUAAGAAACAACAAUUAUGAUAUAUAAUUUAACUUGGUAUUUAAUGUUUCUUUUGUAUAUUUUAUAAUUAAAAACUUACUAAAAAUUACUCCCUACGUAUACCCCCGAGUUUAUCCCGAUUUUUUAACAACUCGCUAGGUCCAGAAUCGCCGCAUGGAUAGCGCGUAGCGCGAUUCCGAAUAGGGGAUAAAACCAAAGAAGAUCGGCCAUCCUAUUUACUAGCUAAGCAACGAGACGAGUUAAGACUAAACAAGGUCGGAAGGCCGGAAAUAAAGUAGCCGGUUGCCACGAGCUACCGAGAGAUAGACGCCCUCAAAC